rnacentral:tRNA from 1 species
UGGAUUCUUAGCUCAGUUGGUAGAGCAUUCGACUCUUAAUCGACAGGUCCAGGGUUCGAGCCCCUGAGAAUCCAUCC